GAUGAACGCUGGCGGCGUGCCUAAUACAUGCAAGUCGAGCGAACAGAUGAGGAGCUUGCUCCUCUGACGUUAGCAGCGGACGGGUGAGUAACACGUGGAUAACCUACCUAUAAGACUGGGAUAACUUCGGGAAACCGGAGCUAAUACCGGAUAAUAUAUUGAACCGCAUGGUUCAAUAGUGAAAGACGGUUUUGCUGUCACUUAUAGAUGGAUCCGCGCCGCAUUAGCUAGUUGGUAAGGUAACGGCUUACCAAGGCAACGAUGCGUAGCCGACCUGAGAGGGUGAUCGGCCACACUGGAACUGAGACACGGUCCAGACUCCUACGGGAGGCAGCAGUAGGGAAUCUUCCGCAAAGGGCGAAAGCCUGACGGAGCAACGCCGCGUGAGUGAUGAAGGUCUUCGGAUCGUAAAACUCUGUUAUUAGGGAAGAACAAAUGUGUAAGUAACUAUGCACGUCUUGACGGUACCUAAUCAGAAAGCCACGGCUAACUACGUG
rnacentral:rRNA from 1 species